GUGGGGAAUCUUAGACAAUGGGCGCAAGCCUGAUCUAGCCAUGCCGCGUGAGCGAUGAAGGCCUUAGGGUUGUAAAGCUCUUUCAGCUGGGAAGAUAAUGACGGUACCAGCAGAAGAAGCCCCGGCUAACUCCGUGCCAGCAGCCGCGGUAAUACGGAGGGGGCUAGCGUUGUUCGGAAUUACUGGGCGUAAAGCGCACGUAGGCGGAUCAGAAAGUCAGAGGUGAAAUCCCAGGGCUCAACCUUGGAACUGCCUUUGAAACUCCUGAUCUUGAGGUCGGGAGAGGUGAGUGGAAUUCCGAGUGUAGAGGUGAAAUUCGUAGAUAUUCGGAGGAACACCAGUGGCGUAGGCGGCUCACUGGCUCGAUACUGACGCUGAGGUGCGAAAGCGUGGGGAGCAAACAGGAUUAGAAACCCGAGUAGUCC
rnacentral:rRNA from 1 species